UUAAUCCUCGGGCACCCGUUAAUCUUGACUAAGUCCCUGAGCCGAUAAGCUUUACCUUGGUGAAUUCGGUUGGAUACUAUUGUGUAAACUCGGCUAGUAUCGAGAAACCUACGGUAUACACGAAUACGCCACCUUGACCUUCGGGUUCAAGGUCAAAGUCAAUAGCGGUGCCCCUGGAUUACC
rnacentral:other from 1 species